GACGAACGCUGGCGGCGUGCUUAACACAUGCAAGUCGAACGGAAAGGCCCUGCUUGCAGGGUACUCGAGUGGCGAACGGGUGAGUAACACGUGGGUGAUCUGCCCUGCACUUCGGGAUAAGCCUGGGAAACUGGGUCUAAUACCGGAUAGGAGCCAUUUUUAGUGGGAUGGUUGGAAAGUUUUUUCGGUGUUGGAUGAGCUCGCGGCCUAUCAGCUUGUUGGUGGGGUAAUGGCCUACCAAGGCGGCUUCGGGUGGCCGGCCUGAGGGGGUGGACGGCCACAUUGGGACUGAGGUACGGCCCAGACUCCUACGGGAGGCAGCAGUGGGGAAUAUUGCACGAUGGGCGCAAGCCUGAUGCAGCGACGCCGCGUGGGGGAUGACGGCCUUCGGGUUGUAAACUCCUUUCGCAAGGGACGAAGCUUUUUGUGACGGUACCUAGAUAAGAAGCACCGGCUAACUACGUG
rnacentral:rRNA from 1 species